UACACCCUAGCCAACCCACUCUUUCUCUCACCGUUCUCUCUCUUCCACCGCCUUACUCCCUUCAUCACCGCCAUUCUCCACCGUCCUCGCCGCCGCAUAGCUGUUCGCGCCGCCGUCCUCUCCGCUGAGGCCCUCUAUCCAUUUCUCUUCCGCGAACAGCAGCGGUCCGAGCCGCCGCCGCCGCUGAUGUAUCCUUCUCUGAAACUCCGGCGUCGCUUCUGUAAAAUCUGGCGACUGAUUUUCACCGUUCUUUCCCUCUUUUUCUCUUCAUCUCGGUUUCCCUCUCUAAUCCCUCACUGGAAGCGCGCAAUUGAAGGGAAAAAGUCGAGCCCUAGCUUCUCUCCAGCAGGAGAGGGAGACGGCGCCGCAGACGCUGGUGGUGGGCGGUGGUGUUGGAGGCUGCGGCGGCGGGGGGGUUUGCGGGGGCGGGAGGGGGUCAGAUGAUGGGUCAGGUUCCCAGGAUUCGGGAAGCUGGCCCGGGCGUGAGAGCACUGACGUCUACUAUGAGAUGAUGAUACAAGCUAAUCCCGGCAAUGCUCUUCUGCUCGGGAAUUAUGUUAGAUUCUUGAAGGAGGUUAGGGGAGAUUUGGCAAAGGCAGAGGAGUAUUGUGAGGGCGAUUUUGGCGAAUCCAAGUGAUGGUAAUGUGCUAUCACUAUACGCUGAUCUAAUAUGGCAGACGCAAAGAGAUGCUACUCGAGCUGAUGCCUAUUUUCAUCAAGCUGUCAAAACUCACCCCAAUGACUGCUAUGUUCUGGCUUCGUAUACUCAAUUCUUAUGGGAUGUCGAGGAUGUCAAAGAAGAAGAAGAGGAAUAAGUAAACGAUUUAGCUUGUGUCUAAUAGUUUGGUUUUAGAAGCUGCCGCCGCGCCAGAUCGUGCCUUAGCCAAAAAAUACCAGAGAGAGGACCCAACUACUCGUCGUAUUUGUAUUUGCAAGAAUAUGAUGUUAGGCUAGCUCUGGAUUAGCUGCACCUGCGGAGGACAGUACUUUCAGGGCAGCUGGUGCAUCCCGAAUUGAAUCGUCGUAUAUUGUUGGCUUACGAGAUCUUGAUAUGAAACACGUUAAAGAUUUCAUCUUCAUACACAGUAUCUAAUUAGUAUCUCAUAUGUGGAUGACACUGAAGUUUUCAAGUACUAGUUCUUGGCGGAUCAAGUUGAUGGGAGUCGAUGCACUGUUUUUCAAUCGAGAAUGCAGCCAAAAACUGAGUUAUGAGGACUACUACUAAUGAGAAGGCUAAAGCAGAGAACGUCGUUUCAAAUGUUUCAAAUCUUAUAUUUCAAUCUCUAUACGCAGGUGCAUAUGAUCGGUCCCCGUUUUGAGGAAGUAAUUUUUUGCAGUAUUUUGUUGUGCAUGUAGUAAAACAUGUAUUAACAGGCAACUUGUGUAGCUCGAAUUGUUGGAUACUAUGUUAUAUAUGCUAAUAUUAUCUUGUCAAUGUUAUUUUAUUA